rnacentral:tRNA from 1 species
GCGGAGUAGGCUAUGACAAUUUUGCCAAGGUUGGGGUCGAGGGUUCGAAUCCCUUCGCCCGCUCCA